GACGAACGCUGGCGGCGUGCUUAACACAUGCAAGUCGAGCGGUAAGGCCCUUUCGGGGGUACACGAGCGGCGAACGGGUGAGUAACACGUGGGUGACCUGCCCUCAGCUCUGGGAUAAGCCUGGGAAACCGGGUCUAAUACCGGAUAUGACUCCAUGACGCAUGUUGUGGGGUGGAAAGCCUUGUGCGGCUGAGGAUGGGCCCGCGGCCUAUCAGCUUGUUGGUGGGGUGAUGGCCUACCAAGGCGACGACGGGUAGCCGGCCUGAGAGGGCGACCGGCCACACUGGGACUGAGACACCGGCCAGACCUCCGUACGGGAGGCAGCAGGUGGGGAAUCUUGCGCAAGUGGGACGAAAGCCUGACGCAGCGACGCCGCGUGA
rnacentral:rRNA from 1 species